AUAAAUCGUGCGCGUCGCCAGUUGCGAAUGAGAGAUAUGUACACACCGCCCGUCAAGCCCGAAAGGGAGGGGCAUCCGAAGUCGCCACACCAAGCUGGUGCCGAAGAUGAAACUCCGAUCGGGAUAAGUCGUAACAAGGUAACCGUAGGUGAACCUGCAGAAGGAUCA
rnacentral:rRNA from 1 species